GACGAACGCUGGCGGCGUGCCUAAUACAUGCAAGUAGGACGCAGUUGCGAACGGGUGAGUAACGCGUAGGUAACUGCCUAUUAGAGGGGGAUAACUAUUGGAAACGAUAGCUAAUACCGCAUACUAGUAGAUGGACCUGCGUUGUAUUAGCUAGUAGGUAGGGUAAUGGCCUACCUAGGCACCGAUACAUAGCCGAGCUGGGGAGGAGGACGGCCAAACUGGGACUGGGAAACGGCCCAGACCCCUACGGGAGGCAGCAGUAGGGGAACUUCGGCAAUGGGGGGAAACCUGACCGCGCAACGCCGCGUGAGUGAAGAAGGGUUUCGGAUCGGAAAGCUCUGUUGUGAAGGAAGCGGUACUUAACCAGAAAGCAACGGCUAACUACGUGCCAGCAGCCGCGGUAAUUC
rnacentral:rRNA from 1 species